AAACUGCGAUACGUAGUGUGAAUUGCAGUCCGUGAAUCAUCGAAUUUUUGAACGCAAAUUGCGCUGUCGGGAAUUCCCGGCAGCAUGCUUGGCUGAGUAUCAUCUGGACAAAUCGACUCGAGCAUAUUUGUUUCGAGGCGGAAUUGAGGCUUGUCGCACGCCAUUCUCUUUUAAGCCUUUUAAAAGAGAGUAGCGUGGGUCCCUUGAAAUCUCGUUCGGUGAGAAGGCACAAUCCAAAUCGUCCCUUGUCUCCGCCAGUGUGUCAAUAAGCUUUCUUGAGCUUUUCUCUACACUGUUUUUGCAGGAAGGCAACUGGGUUACGAGUGCUUUAUUUCUCUACCUUGAUGUGAUCAUAUAUGAAUAAACCUGUUUUUUGAUCUCAGCUCAAGCAAGACUACCCGCUGAAUUUAA
rnacentral:misc_RNA from 1 species